UACAGAGGUCCCAAGCGUUGUUCGGAUUCACUGGGCGUAAAGGGUGCGUAGGUGGCGGGGCAAGUCUGACGUGAAAUCUCCGGGCUUAACCCGGAAAUGGCGUUGGAAACUACCUUGCUUGAGGGUUGGAGGGGGGACUGGAAUACUUGGUGUAGCAGUGAAAUGCGUAGAUAUCAAGUGGAACACCAGUGGCGAAGGCGAGUCCCUGGACAACUCCUGACACUGAGGCACGAAAGCUAGGGGAGCAAACGGG
rnacentral:rRNA from 1 species